GAUUAACGCUAGCGGCAGGCAUAAUACAUGCAAGUUGAACGGCAGCACAGGUAGCACUCCUGGGUGGCGAGUGGCGCACGGGUGCGUAACACGUAUGCAACCUACCCUAUACAGGCGAAUAACCUUUAGAAAUGAGGGCUAAUACGCCGUAGUAUUACAGAUGGGCAUCUAUUUGUAAUUAAAGAUUUAUCGGUAUAGGAUGGGCAUGCGUCCCAUUAGUUAGUUGGUAAGGUAACGGCUUACCAAGACGAUGAUGGGUAGGGGAUCUGAGAGGACUUACCCCCACACUGGUACUGAGACACGGACCAGACUCCUACGGGAGGCAGCAGUAAGGAAUAUUGAGCAAUGGCCGCGAGGCUGACCCAGCCAUGCCGCGUGCAGGAAGACGGCCUUAUGGGUUGUAAACUGCUUUUAUACGGGAAUAAUAGAGUGUACGCGUACAUUUAUGCAAGUAUCGUAUGAAUAAGCAUCGGCUAACUCCGUG
rnacentral:rRNA from 1 species